rnacentral:rRNA from 1 species
CGUGGGUAACCUGCCCAAGAGAUCGGGAUAACACCUGGAAACAGAUGCUAAUACCGGAUAACAACAGAUGAUGCCUAUCAACUGUUUAAAAGAUGGUUCUGCUAUCACUCUUGGAUGGACCUGCGGUGCAUUAGCUAGUUGGUAGGGUAACGGCCUACCAAGGCGAUGAUGCAUAGCCGAGUUGAGAGACUGAUCGGCCACAUUGGGACUGAGACACGGCCCAAACUCCUCGGGAGGCAGCAGCC